ACCGAGACCAGAGUCACAUCCUGACACCGUUGGUUGUCCCGGUGUGCAAGCGUCCUCGCAGAGAAUCCCCGGCUCUUUAUUCACCGGCUGAGGUCACCGGAUCGGGAACGUCA